rnacentral:rRNA from 1 species
AACGAACGCUGGCGGCAUGCCUAACACAUGCAAGUCGAACGAGACCUUCGGGUCUAGUGGCGCACGGGUGCGUAACGCGUGGGAACCUGCCCUUAGGUUCGGAAUAACUCCCCGACAGGGGUGCUAAUACCGGAUAAUGUCUUCGGACCAAAGAUUUAUCGCCUUUGGAGGGGCCCGCGUUGGAUUAGCUAGUUGGUAGGGUAAAAGCCUACCACGGCGACGAUCCAUAGCUGGUCUGAGAGGAUGCUCAGCCACACUGGGACUGAGACACGGCCCAGACUCCUGCGGGAGGCAGCAGUGGGGAAUAUUGGACAAUGGGCGAAAGCCUGAUCCAGCAAUGCCGCGUGAGUGAUGAAGGCCUUAGGGUUGUAAAGCUCUUUUACCCGGGAUGAUAAUGACAGUACCGGGAGAAUAAGCUCCGGCUAACUCCGUG